AUUGAACGCUGGCGGCAGGCCUAACACAUGCGAGUCGAGCGGAUGAAGGGAGCUUGCUCCUGGAUUCAGCGGCGGACGGGUGAGUAAUGCCUAGGAAUCUGCCUGGUAGUGGGGGAUAACGUCCGGAAACGGGCGCUAAUACCGCAUACGUCCUGAGGGAGAAAGUGGGGGAUCUUCGGACCUCACGCUAUCAGAUGAGCCUAGGUCGGAUUAGCUAGUUGGUGGGGUAAAGGCCUACCAAGGCGACGAUCCGUAACUGGUCUGAGAGGAUGAUCAGUCACACUGGAACUGAGACACGGUCCAGACUCCUACGGGAGGCAGCAGUGGGGAAUAUUGGACAAUGGGCGAAAGCCUGAUCCAGCCAUGCCGCGUGUGUGAAGAAGGUCUUCGGAUUGUAAAGCACUUUAAGUUGGGAGGAAGGGCAGUAAGUUAAUACCUUGCUGUUUUGACGUUACCAACAGAAUAAGCACCGACUAACUUCGUG
rnacentral:rRNA from 1 species